rfam:Acyrthosiphon pisum strain LSR1 Contig2437, whole genome shotgun sequence.
AAUUCUAGAGCUAAUACAUGCCGACAGAGUUCCGACCGUCUGCGGCGCCCUCGGGCGUCGCUCGCGGGAGGAACGCUUUUAUUAGAUCAAAACCGGCCCGUCGCGGCGCGCUUCGUGCGCGUCCCGAUCGCGGCCCGCGCAAAGACCUGGUGACUCUGAAUAACUUCGAGCUGAUCGCACGGUCUCCGUACCGGCGACGCAUCUUUCAAAUGUCUGCCUUAUCAACUGUCGAUGGUAGGUUCCAUGCCUACCAUGGUGGUAACGGGUAACGGGGAAUCAGGGUUCGAUUCCGGAGAGGGAGCCUGAGAAACGGCUACCACAUCCAAGGAAGGCAGCAGGCGCGCAAAUUACCCACUCCCGGAACGGGGAGGUAGUGACGAAAAAUAACGAUACGGGACUCAUCCGAGGCCCCGUAAUCGGAAUGAGAACACUUUAAAACCUUUAAACGAGGAUCAAUUGGAGGGCAAGUCUGGUGCCAGCAGCCGCGGUAAUUCCAGCUCCAAUAGCGUAUAUUAAAGUUGUUGCGGUUAAAAAGCUCGUAGUCGGAUCUGUGUCUGGACGGUGCCGGACCACCCUGGCGGUCCGUCGUGUCGCGGCCGGCCGUGUCGCGGGACCACGUGUCCCGUCGGCGCGGUCGCCGUCGCGCUCGUCAGCCGUCUCGGGGUGUUAGUUACCGGCACGUCGGCCGGACGUAUUGUCGGCAGGCGGACACGUGUCUCGUGCUUCCGGCGCGCCGCGCGGCCACGCGUCGCGCGGGCCGUCGGUGUUCGACGACGGCGGCCGCCUACUCCAAUCUUGCUGCGCGGUGCUCUUCACCGAGUGCCGUCGGCGGGCCGACACGUUUACUUUGAACAAAUUAGAGUGCUCAAAGCAGGCUCGAAUCUGGCGGGGCGGCUUCACGGCCGUCUCGUCAAAAGGCCCUGAAUACUGGUCGCAUGGAAUAAUGGAACAAGACCUCGGUCCCGCGCAUCUCCGCCCUUCGCGGGCGCGCGAAUCGCCCUCCGGGGCGUUUCCGUGCGCGGGCCGCCGGGCCGCGGGCGCCAGUCGCCCGCGCGUCCCGCCGGGCCGGUUUUCGGGACCGGAGGUAAUGAUCAACAGAGACGGGCGGGGGCAUUCGUACCGAGACGUUAGAGGUGAAAUUCUUGGAUCGUCUCGAGACGAACUGACGCGAAAGCAUUUGCCAAGUACGUUCUCGUAUGAUCAAGAACGAAAGUUAGAGGUUCGAAGGCGAUCAGAUACCGCCCUAGUUCUAACUGUAAACGAUGCCAGCUAGCGAUCCGCCGGCGUUUCAUUAACGACCCGGCGGGCAGCUUCCGGGAAACCGAAGCUUUUCGGUUCCGGGGGAAGUAUGAUUGCAAAGUUGAAACUUAAAGGAAUUGACGGAAGGGCACCACCAGGAGUGGAGCCUGCGGCUUAAUUUGACUCAACACGGGAAACCUCACCAGGCCCGGACACCGGAAAGAUUGACAGAUUGAGAGCUCUUUCUUGAUUCGGUGGGUGGUGGUGCAUGGCCGUUCUUAGUUGGUGGAGCGAUCUGUCUGGUUAAUUCCGAUAACGAACGAGACUCUGUCCUGCUAACUAGGCGGGUAAACCCGGGUCGGCGUGUGCGCGGCGCUGGCGGUUUCGGCCGUCAGUGUUCGCGUACCCGUCGGCUCGGCCCGGUAUCCCCGAACGCGUUCGCCCGUCGUCCACGGCGGUCGUCGGGCGCGGCCGCGCCAUCCGCGUCCCGGCGUUCGGCGGGCCGUAUGUCGGCCGGGGGGCAACCUCCGGUCGGGCCUGCGUCCGUCGUGCGUCGGGCUCCGUGGUGAAGCGCGCCGUGUU